AUGGCUGCAGAUAUUCAUGAAAGAGUGAAUCACAGAGGUUACACAAAUGUUGAGUUUUUCAUGCUUAUUAAUUUCACACUUGUCAGAACAGAGGGAGAGUUGAGUAUUUGCCUGCAAUGUUUUCCAGCUGCUAUAUUGCUGUUGCAGUGCCUAUCAUUUCAAAGGACAAAUUUGGCCCAUCCCAAUGUCUCUGCCACUUUUCUUGUUUUAGGAUCCCAAGGGCAAGCAGAACUUCCUGGUUGCAGGCCCUGCCUUCUUUCGACACCAUGGGAAGAUUUUCUAGGAUGAAACGUUGUCGAUUCUUCAAGCAGCAUGUGUCCUCUUAGAAAUCAAUGAAAGAACUGCUCUAGCAAAAUAUUUAAAAUAUUUCUUUCAUCUGUAGAGAACUGAACAGCCAACUUUUAAUAAUCUGACAUAUUCAACUGACUUCAAGUGGUAGCUCAAGGUAAGAGUCUGAUUAGCUCAUGGUUUCUUCUACUGAAAAUAAAAUGAUUAAAAGAUAGAAUUUCA
rnacentral:lncRNA from 1 species